UACGUAGGUGACAAGCGUUGUCCGGAUUUACUGGGCGUAAAGAGCGCGCAGGCGGUCGAUCAAGUCGAGUGUGAAAGCCCCCGGCUCAACUGGGGAGGGUCAUUCGAUACUGAUCGACUCGAAGGCAGGAGAGGGUAGUGGAAUUCCCGGUGUAGUGGUGAAAUGCGUAGAUAUCGGGAGGAAAACCAGUGGCGAAGGCGACUACCUGGCCUGUUUCUUGACGCUGAGGCGCGAAAGCUAGGGGAGCAAACGGG
rnacentral:rRNA from 1 species